CCUACGGGUGGCUGCAGUGGGGAAUAUUGGACAAUGGGCGCAAGCCUGACCCAGCGACGCCGCGUGAGUGAAGAAGGCUUUCGGUUUGUAAACUUCUAUUAGCAGGGAAGAGUGAAAUACGGUACCUUUCCAAUCAACCACGGCUAACUACGGGCCAGCAGCCGCGGUCAUACGUAGGUGGCAAGCGUUGUCCGGAUUUACUGGGGGUAAAGGGCGGGGAGCCGGGUGGACAAGUCCGAUGUGAAAUGCGGCGGCUCAACCGCAGAACUGCUUUGGAAACUGUUGAGCUUGAGUACUGGAGAGGUAGAUGGAAUUCCUAGUGUAGCGGUGAAAUGCGUAGAUAUUAGGAGGAACACCAGUGGCGAAGGCGGUCUGCUGGACAGUAACUGACGGUGAGGCGCGAAAGCGUGGGGAGCAAACAGGAUUAGAUACCCGGGUAGUC
rnacentral:rRNA from 1 species